GUGUCUGCUGCACGAGCAAAGGGUCCCCUGCAUGGAGCAAUGCUGAGCUACUGGAGCUUAUCAGUGUUUGGGGAGAGGAGGCUGUGCAGGGACCCAGGAUGCCACGCGAUCACCCCCCUCUUCCCACAAGACCCAUCGUCAAACUGGAGAGAGCUGCACUGUGGGAUAGCUGCUCUACAGCGCUGCUCUCAUCAGCGAUGGAAGUGCUGCUAAUGUAAACAUUCUCUGAUGCCUGAAGAAUGAACCAAGAGGGCCAGGUAACCCUGAAUGACACUUGACAGCAUUGGAGAAGAGGGCGUGUAGCAGGCCACUCCCCCAUCUAGACACGUAAUGUGAGAGCUGUCAUGGAGGACACAGACAGUGGAGAAACUUGAAAGUGUAUUGUUAGG